rnacentral:rRNA from 1 species
GAUGAACGCUGGCGGCGUGCCUAAUACAUGCGAGUCGAGCGAACGGACGAGAAGCUUGCUUUUCUGAUGUUAGCGGCGGACGGGUGAGUAACACGUGGAUAACCUACCUAUAAGACUGGGAUAACUUCGGGAAACCGGAGCUAAUACCGGAUAAUAUUUUGAACCGCAUGGUUCAAAAGUAAAAGACGGUCUUGCUGUCACUUAUAGAUGGAUCCGCGCUGCAUUAGCUAGUUGGUAAGGUAACGGCUUACCAAGGCAACGAUGCAUAGCCGACCUGAGAGGGUGAUCGGCCACACUGGAACUGAGACACGGUCCAGACUCCUACGGGAGGCAGCAGUAGGGAAUCUUCCGCAAUGGGCGAAAGCCUGACGGAGCAACGCCGCGUGAGUGAUGAAGGUCUUCGGAUCGUAAAACUCUGUUAUUAGGGAAGAACAUAUGUGUAAGUAACUGUGCACAUCUUGACGGUACCUAAUCAGAAAGCCACGGCUAACUACGUG